CCUCAAUGGUAACACGAUCACAGUUUUAAAGCGUCAAUACAUUUGAAACUCUGUGAGAAAAAUAACGUGCUACCAGCGAGCCUGCAUCACCUACUAGUGACCAGUGGGGAGAUGCCAACCGACCACCUGCUAAGGUUGUCCAAAUUGAUGUCCUGAUGAAACACACCCCGCUCAAGACAGUGUUUUGCUCCAUGCACUGCUUGGAUUAUUAAAUCACGUGCCACCUCUUCGCUCACACAACCCCCAUGCUGAAAUUCCUCAUAGACUCUCAGCGGUGUGGGUAUUCUAACACCAGUAUACGUCUUUUGGGCUCAUUAAACCACUGGUACAUUGGCAGAACGUAUGGACUUCUCUGAGGCUUUGACAUCAGAACAUUGAGACCAACUUCUGUAACAAGGGGCUCAGAAUGACCAGGCUGCAGAAAAGUGUUCAACAAAAGCUGACAAUAGGCACUACUUCUGAAAUCGAUCGAGUCUGCAUGGCAUCACAUGACUUUGGCUCAUGAGCAGCUGGAUCUUUGCAUCGGUGUGAUCCUUUAGUAUCAUCGAGACGGGGCUGGGUGUCUGCUCGCUUUUCAUCCAGUGGGGCAUUCAACUGGAUAUUAAGAGGCUCCAAUUUGUUUCCUCUGCGGCACUUGAAAGCACUUUUCACUGCACAUCAUUUUCUCUGGAAGAAUGCAUGACAGCCUUUUUCCUUUUAUUUGUUUGCUCAUCUUUAAGAGAGAGGAACACAUUUUUGAAACCCUGACCCUUAAUAAAAAUACUGUAACUUAUAUUUAUAUAUAUAUAUAUAUAUGAACCAAUGGUGGUGCUCAUGGUGCUUAUUUCUGACCAUGGGCCUUUGGUCACUGUUCGGGUAAAAUAACUAAAACUUCUGUCACUUUAUUUAAAAUGCAUUUAAUAAAUUGAGACGGUUAUGUUUUUGUCAAACAAAAGUAAUUGCAAACAUUUAAGCAUACACCUUUAGAUUAAAAUAUUUUUUUAAUUCAUCAUGAUAAACAUUUUAAUCAGGAGUGUCUUAACUUGAAUAGAUUCAUUAGGUCAUUAUUUCCAUUAUUUAGAUGCUGUUACUGACCAGUUGAGCUCACAGCAUGGGUUUGGGUCAGUGGUCCCUGCACCAGCCACCUGAAGUGAGAUGUUCAACCGUCGCUGAGCAGCGCCAACCCGCCUCCUGUACCGGAUCAUUGGUGGUACUUAUGGUGCUCAUUUCUGACCAUCGGUCUGUGAAGACUUCGUUAACUGUGCUGUCACUGACCUGUUGAACUCCUGGUGGUCCCUGAACCAGCUGCCUGAUGGGAGAUGCUCAACCUUCGCUGUUCACCAAACCGGCUGGCUGCUGGUCGAGACCUCCACUUGUCUCCUGCACCGGAUCAAUGGUCUUCAAUACACGAACACUGAACAAUCGUGGAAAUGUCAUGACUUGCAUUCAUUAUUUGCAUUUCACUUUCAAUGCAUACAGGUAGUUGAUUUUGAUCACAAGGUAUCUGAAUUCUUUUCAUUUUUUCAG